rnacentral:ncRNA from 1 species
CUUAAUUUAACUCAACAUGACAAACUUCAACCAGCCUGGACACAGAUUGAUGGAUUGAAAGCUCUUUCUUGAUUCUGUGGAUGGUGGAGCAUGGCUGUUCUUAGUGUAGCAAUUUAUCUGGUUAAUUCUGACAACGAAUAAUAUUCUGGCAUGUUAUCUAGUUAUUUCACUUCCAUGUAUAACCUUUUGAUUCUCCCAAAGGUUAACUACUAAUGGUCUUCCUGUUGACCUGAAGCCUUACCAUUAACAGAACAGUCAAUUAACAUAUUUUUUGAUG